GGAUCUAUGAUAGAUUUGUCCGGGUUAGUUUCUCUUUUAAAUCAUAAAUGUAAUUUGCCUAAUGUUAUGAAUGUUAUCGAUGAGCGAAAAUAAAUUGUGAGUUUCUUGAUCUUAUGGACUGUUCUUGUUGAUUUUUCAAAAAAUUUCGAAGCUUGUGUAUAUCAUAUGCUAGUUAGUUUUGUCUCUCAAUAAGUCUUAAAUGAAUUUUGG
rnacentral:misc_RNA from 1 species